rnacentral:rRNA from 1 species
UACGUAGGGCCCGAGCGUUAUCCGGUAUUAUUGGGCGUAAAGAGUAUGUAGGCGGUUUGAAAAGACACUGGUUAAAUCUCCAAGCUUAACUUGGAAUCAGCCGGUGUGACUGUCAGACUAGUCGAUAGCAGGGGCAAGCAGAAUUCUCGGUGUAGGAGUGAAAUCCGUUGAGAUCGAGAGGAAUACCAAUGGCGAAGGCAGCUUGCUAGGCUAUUUGAGACGCUGAGAUACGAAAGCGUGGGGAGCGAACGGG